AACGAACGCUGGCGGCGUGCUUAACACAUGCAAGUCGAACGGUGAACCUCUUCGGAGGGGAUCAGAGGCGAACGGGUGAGUAACACGUGGGCAACCUGCCCCUGGCUCUGGGAUAACUCCAAGAAAUUGGGGCUAAUACCGGAUAUGACCGCUGACCGCAUGGUCUGGUGGUGGAAAGAUUUAUCGGCUGGGGAUGGGCCCGCGGCCUAUCAGCUUGUUGGUGGGGUAGGGGCCUACCAAGGCGACGACGGGUAGCCGGCCUGAGAGGGUGACCGGCCACACUGGGACUGGGACACGGCCCAGCCUCCUACGGGAGGCAGCAGUGGGGAAUAUGGCGCAAUGGGCGAAAGCCUGACGCAGCGACGCGGCGGGGGGGAUGACGGCCUUCGGGUUGUAAACCUCUUUCAGCAGGGACGAAGCGAAAGUGACGGUACCUGCAGAAGAAGCACCGGUCAGCUACGUGCCAGCAGCCGCCGUAAAAC
rnacentral:rRNA from 1 species